UAGCGGCGGUUUAAUUGCCGAAUUGCGGCGGUUUUGAACCGCCGCUAAACAGAAUUGACUGGAACUUUUGCUAUUGAAUAAUAUUGAAGUAUAUUGAAUGUCAAUGUACAAUUAUACAUUGAUCUAUUUAUAUUACUACUCCUAGCAGCUUAUACCUUUAAGAGGCAAGAUAACUGCCUGUAACAGAUUCUGGUAUAACUGCUUACCAGAAUUAGUAACCAACUCCUAACCUACUACCCAUUUUCUUUCAUUCUUGAUUCAUUUACAUCAAAACCUCUAUUAGGGAGAAAUUUCCCAAGUUACCUCAAUUAUAUUGAAGUUAUUAAUUGCUUAAGAUCAGACCACUAUAUUUGGAAAACGAUGUACUACUUACUAGAUUUUUCUAAUGACGUGUAAUAAGAUGCAUGUUAAUUGUCAUAGUAUAUUCCCUUUAAUUUUUUUACUUGUGAAGGCUAAAUUGCUGCCUAAAUAUAUUUUCUUUCUCAGCAUUAAAUGUAAAAGAAACUAUAUAAAUUUAUGCCAACUUCAUUAAAUUGAGAUACUGCAAAAGAUGUUUUGUAGUCGUUCUCUGCAUCUUGGUCAUAAUCCAGCUAAUUAAUGAACAUGGAAACAUGAAGAAGAAGAAUUGUAUUUUAUUUUCCGCAAAAAAUAAACCUAACUGAAAUACAUAUACUUUUUCUGCUUGUGUACUUAUGUGAGCAAUUUUGUUAAAAAAAUUUACCCUUUUCUUAUUUAUGUUCACAACCUUUUCUUUUUUGGGAAUUUAUGUUCACAACUUGAAAAAUAUAGUUUUAUAAGUUUCUUGCUAAUUUUUUUGGGUCAUACAUUGCUCCUUCUACCAAUAUGGGCUCAGAAUCGGCAUUUAUAUUGUCCAACUUUUUUUGUUCAUUGCUAUCUAAUUUGAAAACAUCAUACAGUUUUAUACCAAAAAUUAAAAAGCAUAAUAGCCGAAAAUGCCUAUAAUUUAUAUCUUGCUGAAGCCAAUUCAUUAAUUAUUAUGAACCUGAAAAGCUUGCACUAUUGGUUGUUCAUCUCAAUUUGGUUUUAUUAUUAGUUGAUGCAACUUCUUUUUCAGUCUUGUUAUAAUUCUGUUUCAAAGAAGAUUAGCCUUUUAUUUGUGUCUUAUUUUUAUUUUUGGUUAGAACUUUUUGUUCAUGCUUCUGGAGGCUUAUGCAACUCUGGUUCCAUUUUUCUUUAACCUUUUAGAACCUUUUGUCUUUAUAUCUCAGGAGAGGCAUCACUAUUAUGGUUAGGAAAGCUUUAUUUAUUUCUUAUUUAUUAUAAAAUGUCUGUAAGUUAUUUUCAUUUGAACAUUUUUAUUAAAAAUUAUGUCACAAAUUAGAGAAUAAAACAAAAACUAAAUGGUUAUCAAAACUUGUAUCUUAAAAAUCAUGUUGUAUGAUUGCAUUCCACUAAUUUCUUUUUCUUUCGUGUUUUUUCUCUUUACAGGUUUGUGAUUUUGGUCUAUCAUGAUGAAGCACCAUACCUUUUUGUCAUCAAAGUCUUGGGCAGGAACAGUUAGGGGUGUUCGUGGUGCGGUUUAGAUCAAUUUUGAGUGAAAAACUCAUCCGAUCCGAACACUAAUUUUGCUUGCGCCUGAGUGGAUGGCGCCAGAAGUCUUGAGAAAUGAACCAGCCAAUGAGAAGUUGAGUCAGCUUCAUUAGAGAAGGGGCAUAAAAUGAAAAUCAAUAAUGUUUCCAAUUACCCAAAGGAACUGGACGAGAUGAAACAUGUAACAAAGCAAGAAUUCAUUGCAUCACUGAGAAGGCAUCACCAACAAGGUAGGUGGCAAGCAAGAAUUGGUCGCGUUGCUGGAAACAAAGAUCUUUUAUUGGGAACAUUCUCAACUGAAGAGGAAGCUGCUUAGGCAUAUGAUAUAGCAGCUAUAAAGUUCCGAGGUGCAAAUGCAGUAACCAACUUUGAGAUGAGCAGGUACGAUGUUGAUGCCAUAACGAAGAGCUCUCUUCCUGUUGGCGGCGCAGCAAAACGCUUGAAACUCACCCUAUAAUCAGAGCAGAAUUUAUUUUGAAAUCAGAAUUUUGAACUCAAGUUUUAUUUU